rnacentral:sRNA from 1 species
GGGCCAGCUACCACUCUAUGAGCUCGAUGGCACGAGCAGCGUUCUCUGAGGAUGGGGCCCUGAUGGAUGGUGGCAUGGACCUCAACAUGGAGCAGGGCAUGGCAGAGUGAGUGUCCCCCACCGCCAGCCCAGGUGAGCGGCCCCAGGGCUGGGGCCCAGAUAGCCCAAGAAGCACAGCUACUUUCAACUUGAAAAGGGUGGAAGGGAGUUGAACUGGGGCCCAUAUGCUGUCUUUCCAGCUUUAUUUCUAUCCACAGGCACCUUAAGGAUGUGAUCCUACUGACAGCCAUCGUGCAGGCUCCAGGCCGGGCCCUUUACCUCCUGUGGGUGAAUGUGCUGGGCCCCUGGUUCACUGCAGACAGUGGCACCCCAGCACCAGAGCACAAUGAGAAACGGCAGCGCCGACAGGAGCGGCGGCAGAUGAAGCGGCUAUAGCCAUUGACAUUGUAGCCACAGGCCGCUGGCCCUGGGUGGCUCUGUCAGGGUGCACAGCCCCCCAUGCCUGGAGCAAUGAGGGUCUAGUCCAGGGGCCAAAAGCAGUCUGAGGUAUUGGGUAUACUUAUACUCUACAGGGUUGUUGAAUAAAUGGCUUAGAAUGUG